UACGUAGGGUGCAAGCGUUGUCCGGAAUUAUUGGGCGUAAAGAGCUCGUAGGCGGUUUGUCGCGUCUGCUGUGAAAACUCGGGGCUUAACCCCGGCCUGCAGUGGGUACGGGCAGACUAGAGUGCGGUAGGGGGAGACUGGAAUUCCUGGUGUAGCGGUGAAAUGCGCAGAUAUCAGGAGGAACACCGGUGGCGAAGGCGGUUCUCUGGGCCUUACCUGACACUGAGGAGCGAAAGCGUGGGGAGCAAAACAGG
rnacentral:rRNA from 1 species